rnacentral:rRNA from 1 species
CGGGUGCCGCAUCUAUACAUGCAAGUCGAGCGAAUGGAUUAGGAGCUUGCUCUUUUGACGUUAGCGGCGGACGGGUGAGUAACACGUGGGCAACCUGCCUUAAAGAUUGGGAUAACUCCGGGAAACCGGGGCUAAUACCGAAUAAUCUUUUUAACUUCAUGGUUAAAUAUUGAAAGACGGUUUCGGCUGUCACUUUUGGAUGGGCCCGCGUCGCAUUAGCUAGUUGGUGAGGUAACGGCUCACCAAGGCAACGAUGCGUAGCCGACCUGAGAGGGUGAUCGGCCACACUGGGACUGAAACACGGCCCAAACUCCUACGGGAGGCAGCAGUAGGGAAUCUUCCACAAUGGACGAAAGCCUGAUGGAGCAACGCCGCGUGAGUGAAGAAGGUUUUCGGAUCGUAAAACUCUGUUGUAAGGGAAAAACAAGUGCUAUUUUAAUUGGCUGUCCCUUGGCGGUACCUUAUUAAAAAGCCCCGGCUAACUACCUGCCCCCCCCCCCGGUAAUACCUAGGGGGCAAGCGUUUUCCGGAAUUAUUGGGCGUAAAGCCCGCCCAGGGGGUCUUCUAAGUCCGAUGGGAAAGCCCACGGCUCAACCGUGGAAGGUCAUUGGAAACUGGGGAACUUGAAUGCAAAAAAAGAAAGUGGAAUUCCAAUGGUUACGGUGAAAUGGCUAAAAAUUUGGAAGAACCCCAAUGGGCGAAGGGGACUUUCUGGUCCGUUACUGGACGCUGAAGCGCGAAAGCGUGGGGGAAACAAACAAGAUUAAAAUACCCCUGGUUAGUCCACGCGUAAACGAUUGAGUGCUUAAGUGGUAGGAGGUUUCCGCCCUUAGUGCUGCAGCUAACGCAAUUAGCAACUCCGCUGGGGAGUACGGUCGCAAGACUGAACUCAAAGGAUUGACGCGUUCGCAAGGCGUGACAUGUGUUAAUCGAGCACCGCG